rnacentral:rRNA from 1 species
AGCAGCCGCGGUAAUUCCAGCUCCAAUAGCGUAUAUUAAAGUUGCUGCAGUUAAAAAGCUCGUAGUUGAAUUUCGGGAUCAAUAUGUUGGUCGUGCCUUGGUGCGUACUAGUUUAUUGAUUUCUCCCUUCUGACGAACUAUGAUGCCAUUAAUUUGGUGUCAUGGGGAAUCAGGACUGUUACUUUGAAAAAAUUAGAGUGUUUAAAGCAGGCUCACGCUUGAAUACAUUAGCAUGGAAUAAUAAAAUAGGACGUUUGAUUCUAUUUUGUUGGUUUCUAGGAUCGACGUAAUGAUUAAUAGGGAUAGUUGGGGGCAUUAGUAUUCAAUUGUCAGAGGUGAAAUUCUUGGAUUUAUUGAAGACUAACUACUGCGAAAGCAUUUGCCAAGGAUGUUUUCAUUAAUCAAGAACGAAAGUUAGGGGAUCGAAGACGAUCAGAUACCGUCGUAGUC